UCUCCGUUGGUGAACCAGCGGAGGGAUCAUUACAGAGUUGCAAAACUCCCUAAACCAUUGUGAACGUUACCUCCAACCGUUGCUUCGGCGGGCGGCACCGGGUCCCCCCCCGGUGCCCCUCGGCCCUCGCGGGCGCCCGCCGGAGGUUACCAAACUCUUUGAUACCUUAUGGCCUCUCUGAGUCUUCUGUACUGAAUAAGUCAAAACUUUCAACAACGGAUCUCUUGGUUCUG
rnacentral:misc_RNA from 1 species